rnacentral:snRNA from 1 species
AUGGCUGAAGCGGGUCAAAGAGUAGUAUCUGUUCUUAUCAGCUUAAUAUCUGAUACGGGUUGUAUUUGUAUCCAAGAUGUUAAACUUAUUUUUGCAAGUUGGCGGAGUGAUUGAAGCCUGCUUCACCUACGCCGCGGGUCGGCUCGGUAUUGCACUAUCUUCGGGAUUUUUGGUCUGCGGACA